AAGCAGCCACCCUUUAAAGAGUGCGUAAUAGCUCACUGAUCGAGCGCCCUUGCGCUGAAGAUGAACGGGGCUAAGCGAUCUGCCGAAGCUGUGGGAUGUCAAAAUGCAUCGGUAGGGGAGCGUUCCGCCUUAGAGGGAAGCAACCGCGAAAGCGGGGGUCGACGAAGUGGAAACGAGAAUGUCGGCUUGAGUAACGAAANNAUUGGUGAGAAUCCAAUGCCCCGAAAACCCAA
rnacentral:ncRNA from 1 species